rnacentral:misc_RNA from 1 species
UUUCCGUAGGUGAACCUGCGGAAGGAUCAUUCAUAAUAAAGUGCUUUAUGGCACUUUUUAAAAAUCCAUAUCCACCUUGUGUGCAAUGUUAGAUCUCGUCAAUCUUGGCGAGAUUUUUAUACAUCAACCCAUUCUUUAACUAAUUUGUCUGAAAAAUAUUAUGAAUACUUAAUUCAAAAUACAACUUUCAACAACGGAUCUCUUGGCUCUC